CCAGGACCAGCUGAAUGAGGGGACUGAGGCUUCAGUGUGUUAGUAGAACAGGUUAGUGAACUCAGGACCAGCUGGAUGAGGGGACUGAGGCUUCAGUGUGUUAGUAGAACAGGUUAGUGAACUCAGCCCCAGGACCAGCUGGAUGAGGGGACUGAGGCUUCAGUGUGUUAGUAGAACAGGUUAGUGAACUCAGGACCAGCUGGAUGAGGGGACUGAGGCUUUAGUGUGUUAGUAGAACAGGUUAGUGAACUCAGCCCCAGGACCAGCUGGAUGAGGGGACUGAGGCUUCAGUGUGUUAGUAGAACAGGUUUGUGAACUCAGCCCCAGGACCAGAUGGAUGAGGGGACUGAGGCUUCAGUGUGUUUUGUAGAACAGGUUAGUGAACUCAGGACCAGCUGGAUAAGGGGACUGAGGCUUCAGUGUGUUAGUAGAACAGGUUAGUGAACUCAGGACCAGCUGGAUAAGGGGACUGAGGCUUCAGUGUGUUAGUAGAACAGGUUAGUGAACUCAGGACCAGCUGGAUAAGGGGACUGAGGCUUCAGUGUGUUAGUAGAACAGGUUAGUGAACUCAGGACCAGCUGGAUGAGGUGACUGAGGCUUCAGUGUGUUUUGUAGAACAGGUUAGUGAACUCAGGACCAGCUGGAUGAGGGGACUGAGGCUUCAGUGUGUUAGUAGAACAGGUUAGUGAACUCAGGACCAGCUGGAUAAGGGGACUGAGGCUUCAGUGUGUUAGUAGAACAGGUUAGUGAACUCAGGACCAGCUGGAUAAGGGGACUGAGGCUUCAGUGUGUUAGUAGAACAGGUUAGUGAACUCAGCCCCAGGACCAGCUGGAUGAGGGGACUGAGGCUUCAGUGUGUUAGUAGAACAGGUUAGUGAACUCAGGACCAGCUGGAUGAGGGGACUGAGGCUUCAGUGUGUUAGUAGAACAGGUUAGUGAACUCAGGACCAGCUGGAUGAGGGGACUGAGGCUUCAGUGUGUUAGUAGAACAGGUUAGUGAACUCAGGACCAGCUGGAUGAGGGGACUGAGGCUUCAGUGUGUUAGUAGAACAGGUUUGUGAACUCAGGACCAGCUGGAUGAGGGGACUGAGGCUUCAGUGUGUUAGUAGAACAGGUUUGUGAACUCAG